UACGUAGGGUGCAAGCGUUGUCCGGAAUUAUUGGGCGUAAAGAGCUCGUAGGCGGUGUGUCGCGUCGGCCGUGAAAACCUGCAGCUUAACUGUGGGCUUGCGGUCGAUACGGGCGGGCUAGAGUUCGGCAGGGGAGACUGGAAUUCCUGGUGUAGCGGUGGAAUGCGCAGAUAUCAGGAGGAACACCGGUGGCGAAGGCGGGUCUCUGGGCCGAUACUGACGCUGAGAAGCGAAAGCGUGGGGGAGCGAAACAGG
rnacentral:rRNA from 1 species